UCCGGAGGCUCCAAGCGUUAUCCGGAAUCAUUGGGUUUAAAGGGUCCGUAGGCGGGUUUAUAAGUCAGUGGUGAAAUCCGGUAGCUCAACUAUCGAACGGCCAUUGAUACUGUAGAACUUGAAUUAUUGUGAAGUAACUAGAAUAUGUAGUGUAGCGGUGAAAUGCUUAGAUAUUACAUGGAAUACCAAUUGCGAAGGCAGGUUACUAACAAGAGAUUGACGCUGAUGGACAAAAGCGUGGGGAGCAAACGGG
rnacentral:rRNA from 1 species